rnacentral:lncRNA from 1 species
GUACUGUGACGUUACAUUAGGCGCUUAUUGGGAGGCAACCUAAUUGUUAACCUUACUAACCCAUAAUUAUAGUUUAGCAUUAUUAGAAUUUAGAAGUUGUGAGACCGGAUUGGGAAGGUACAAGCAUGAAUUGGACAUAACAUAAGUAUAAAAUACAGCCGGGGUGCAACCCAGAAGCUAAAUAUCGAAAAUAAAUUGAACUCUGUGAAAAAUGGCCUACCGUGCUGCAUGAGGCGCCGUGCCAGG